rnacentral:rRNA from 1 species
GGGUAGUUUGACUGGGGCGGUCUCCUCCUAAAGAGUAACGGAGGAGCACGAAGGUUGGCUAAUCCUGGUCGGACAUCAGGAGGUUAGUGCAAUGGCAUAAGCCAGCUUGACUGCGAGCGUGACGGCGCGAGCAGGUGCGAAAGCAGGUCAUAGUGAUCCGGUGGUUCUGAAUGGAAGGGCCAUCGCUCAACGGAUAAAAGGUACUCCGGGGAUAACAGGCUGAUACCGCCCAAGAGUUCAUAUCGACGGCGGUGUUUGGCACCUCGAUGUCGGCUCAUCACAUCCUGGGGCUGAAGUAGGUCCCAAGGGUAUGGCUGUUCGCCAUUUAAAGUGGUACGCGAGCUGGGUUUAGAACGUCGUGAGACAGUUCGGUCCCUAUCUGCCGUGGGCGCUGGAGAACUGAGGGGGGCUGCUCCUAGUACGAGAGGACCGGAGUGGACGCAUCACUGGUGUUCGGGUUGUCAUGCCAAUGGCACUGCCCGGUAGCUAAAUGCGGAAGAGAUAAGUGCUGAAAGCAUCUAAGCACGAAACUUGCCCCGAGAUGAGUUCUCCCUGACUCCUUGAGAGUCCUGAAGGAACGUUGAAGACGACGACGUUGAUAGGCCGGGUGUGUAAGCGCAGC